rnacentral:rRNA from 1 species
AUUGAACGCUGGCGGCAGGCCUAACACAUGCGAGUCGAACGGUAACAGGAAGAAGCUUGCUUCUUUGCUGACGAGUGGCGGACGGGUGAGUAAUGUCUGGGAAACUGCCUGAUGGAGGGGGAUAACUACUGGAAACGGUAGCUAAUACCGCAUAACGUCGCAAGACCAAAGAGGGGGACCUUCGGGCCUCUUGCCAUCGGAUGUGCCCAGAUGGGAUUAGCUAGUAGGUGGGGUAACGGCUCACCUAGGCGACGAUCCCUAGCUGGUCUGAGAGGAUGACCAGCCACACUGGAACUGAGACACGGUCCAGGCUCCUACGGGAGGCAGCAGUGGGGAAUAUUGCACAAUGGGCGCAAGCCUGAUGCAGCCAUGCCGCGUGUAUGAAGAAGGCCUUCGGGUUGUAAAGUACUUUCAGCGGGGAGGAAGGGAGUAAAGUUAAUACCUUUACUCAUUGACGUUACCCGCAGAAGAAGCACCGGCUAACUCCGUG